rnacentral:misc_RNA from 1 species
UUUGACAAUAGUCUCGUGACAAUAUUUUUUGUUGGUUGGGCAAUGUUAUUUAGCAAUUAAAAUCUUUUUAUGAAUGUAUCGCGUUAAAUAAAAUGUUCGAACAUUCAGUCAAAGUACCAAGACAUUACAAAAUAGCUGCAAAUAUCUUUAAGAAAGUUUCUACUGAAGGCGGCAGCGUCAAAACCCUAUUGUACGACGAUAAACUUCGGCAUUUCAUCUAAUUCCGACAUUAACUAAGCGCGAUGGCAGACGCAGGCGAUGCUCCUGCCCCUUUACUCUCAAAGCAAACGAAACAGGCUGUAAUAGUGUUGGCUAACCUCUUUCUAUACAGUGUUGCUAUGUUUACGUUACCGUUUAUCGCGUUUUUUGCUGUACGGCAUGUACUUACUGAAAACUAUCCAGGGGAAACAUUUAUGGUGAAUGCUUGGUCCGUAGCGUCUUCUGUAGUGGUAGUGAACAUUAUAAUAGUUGCGUAUGUUUAUAAAGCAUACCAUGAGAAAGAGUAUGAUGAGGACGGUAAUGAAAUAGACCAGCACGCUUAUCCACCAGUGGGCUCUGAAGUUACCCCAGCAAGGAGCAAUUUGAACCUGAAGAAUGAUUGACACAUUUACGAACAUUCCUUUUUAAACACAGUAUUAAAAUAUCUGCUUUUAAAUGUAUACUUAAAAUUGUGUGUGUUAGCAAGUGCAAUGAACAAAUACAUGUUUUGUUUUCAGAUGUAUAAAAAUCUGUCAUGUGCAUAACAAUAUUUAAUAGUUAGCUAUUAUUAAAUUAUAGAAAGUAA